UUUGACAUAUAUUGUUCGUGCUCAGGUCCCUUGAAAGACUUUACUAUCCUCUUAAGGACAUCUUUGAUGGUAUAUUCUCCGGAGACACAAACUUUAGCACGGGUGCCAAAAUCUCUCAACUCGUUAGAGUUGUACAACUUGGUGGCAAGUGAAGUCUUGCCCAAUCCCCCCAUUCCAUGAAUGGAAAUGAUUUUAAGGGCCGGAUCCUCGCUAUUAAGUUCUUUCAUCAACUUUUGAAUAUCGUCCUUGAAACCAACCACAUCCACCUGUUUAUCAAUGGCACUUGUUCUUAUUAAGGUUCUCUCUUUCUGUUUUACAUCUGGACCGGCUAAAAUAUUGUCUAUUCCAUACUCGAGUCGCCUCUCCUUGAUCACACCGAUCUUUUUCUUGAGUGACUCGAUAUUGUUGCCAAUGUCAUAAAGCUGAGCUUCUUUCUUGCAGAUGCAAAUACAGUUGAGAAAUCUAUCCAUAUGACCUUGUUCCAGACUCGCUUGUCCAUCCUGAAAUCUCUUCAGUAUAUCCACGGCUUCAUUGGCAACAUCUCUGACAGUGCUUAUCCAUAGACGGAUUUCAUCUUCUUGCCUUGAUUCUGCACGAUUUACGGAAGCCUGGAGGAAGCCUAACUCUUCUUUGAGCCAGCCUAUAUCAUCUCUAACUCCUAUUCGUAUGUUAACCUGGUGCACAAGAAAAUUACCAAGGUUUUCAAUUGCAAAAGAUAGCACAGCAUCUGCCAUACUUCUCUAAGAAGUCAAAAAGAAAGGAUGGCUGGGAAAUAUUGGCAAAAGAGUUUGGUAGAAGGUCACUGAGGGAGUAAGACUACUUCAAAGUGGAACAUAUUAUUUAUUAUAAUUUAAGUUUAUAUUAAAAUAUUGAUUUGAGCUUGGACGUUCGAUUAGUGUGAACGAAACAUGGAGAUGCACAAUGAGACGAAUAAGUUUUUUAUGAUGCACAUGAGACAAAUAAGUUUUUUUUAAUAGCCAUGCGGAAUCAUAUGAUUCACUAAAUUGUCCUCUGUGCAUUUUAUAAAGAGUUUGGCCUUGAAAUUUGAUGCAACUUUUUCUUAUUUUCUUCUCCCAUGUGGCUGUGUUUGUUUUAUAGCAACUGCAAGUUGAGCUGAGUUAAAUAAAUUUAUACUAAAAUAUAAUUCAGGCCGCUCCUAUGUCUCCCUGGGAACUGUGUAGAUCUACCAAGCCCGCCCCAUAAAGCGAUAAAGAAUGUACUAUUCGAUGUUAUUUGGGGCGGUUCGACCUGGUUUAAAAGAAGUUAGUUACUGCUUAUAGGUAAGAAGUCACGUAUAAUUGAACAAUAAAUUUUCAUUCUUCUGUUUGGAUAAUUUUUUGAUAAUUUAUAACUAAUAGGUAUAGAAAUUAGUAUUAUAAUAAUAAAACUAGCGUAGAAGCAUGUGCAAGGUACGCCUACUGUUGUGUAAUAUGUGUUUGAAUAAAUGGUUAUAGACUAAUGUGUGUUUGAAUAAAAGUUUGCAGGCUGCAACAGGCCUGCCUUCAGAAAAUCCAAGGUGCUGUGCAAUACUCCCUCCGUCCCAUAUUGAGUGAGCUGUUUUGACUUUCACGGAGAUUAAGAAAAAGGUAGUAAGUUUAGUUGAAAAGUGAGUAAAGUUGUGGGACCUAUCAAUAUUUAAUAAUAGAUUUGAGAUAGUGGAGGAAGAUAGUGGGUGUAAUAGUGUUUAUAUUAUUAUAGAAUGGAGAUAGUGGAAGAAAGUAGUGGGUGUAAUAGUGAAAAGUAGUGUUCAAAAAUAGUAAGUAUGAUAGGUUCAUUCUUUUUGGGACGUCCCAAAAAGGAAUAAGGGUCACAUAAAAUGGGACAGAGGGAGUACAAAGCAGAAGCAAAUCUUGAUACUCUUGCCUUUAGAAACAAUGAAGAGGGUUGUAGAACAAAACCAGAAUUUCAAGUUUGUGAGUUAACAGUUAAUUUUUAAUUUUUCCUUUUCCGUGACGAAUUAAUUUGUUAGUUAACUGAGGUUAUUUACUUGAAUAUAUCUUCACUGAACCUGUUGUUACAUUACUUGUGUAUAUAUGCAGAAUUUCUGAUGAUGGGUGACGAUGAUCAUCACAAUGAUUAGCUAAAUUAAUUAAUCAAAUACACAACGCUUAUGAAACCACUGCAGAAUAAUUUUUUUUAUUUUGUGAUGCAUUUAUCUGACUAUAUAUAGGCAAAAUUUUGUGGCACUUGGUAAUAAGGAAAUACUAAAUUAUUACUAUGAUAUAACUAAACACUUUAGGUAUUGUUGAAUUAGACGGCUAAUUUUGAUUAGAGAUAGUCGAAUAUAUAUAUAUUUUUUCAGUCAGAAACGGUCAAAAUACAACUUCGAUAGUCUUAGGGGGUGUUUGAUAACUCUUAAUAGCCUCUUAAUAGCCAUUUUACUUAUUCGGUCAGAGAUUUAAUUUUUUUAACAGAUUAUCAAACGUGCUUAAUGAAACCAAAACACACUUAUUGGAUAAGAGCGUGGACUCUCGCUUAGUGGGUAAGAGAGCCUCUGAAUAGGGUUUUCCAAUGUAUACCCUCAAACUCAACCCUUUAUUUUCACCCAUCCUGCGUUUAUGCUAGCUGCUUUAACAGUGUGUUAUCAGAUACCCGUCACUUUUCUUCACUUUUCUUUAAAAAAAUAAAGAAUUGAUUAAUCUUGAUAUGGGCUAUAAAUAUAUAAAAUUAUAAAAAUUUUGGAUGAUUUUUAUAAUUUUGGAUUAAUUUUUUUAUGAUUUGGAUAAAAAUUUUGGAUGAUUUAUGAUGUGUUUUAGAUAAAAAUUUAAAAAUAUAAUUUUGAAAUUAUAGUUAUGGAUAAAAUUCCAAAAUUAUAAAAAUUAUAAAAAAUUUAACAUCAUAAAUCAUCCAAAAUUAUAAAAAUUUAUCCAAAAUUAUAAUUUUUUAAUAAUUUCGGAUGAUUUACAUUUUUGUAAUUUUUAUAAUUUUGGAUAAGAUUAUACUUUUUUUAUAAUUUUGAAUAAAAUUAUAUUUGUUAUAAUUUUGGAUGAUUUAUGAUGUAUGUUGGAAUUAUAAGGGUAAAAUGAUAAAUAUAUUGGCAUUCAGAUAUUUUAAUAUGAUUGUUAUCAAACAAUAAAUUUCUUUCAGUAAAUUUUUCAUUCAGGCAAAUUCUUCAUUCAGUGUAUUCAGCAAAUUUAAUGACUCAGCAUUUUUUAUUCAGUUUUAUCAAACAACCUCUUAGUCGAAAGUGUAGCGAUUGGGAUGAUCAAAAAGAGUAACUAUCCUUAUUCAAAAAAAAAAGAAAAAAGAGUAACUAUCCGGUUGAACUUUUAUAUUCGAGCAAAUUUGGUCAAAAAUAAUGUUUUCACGCUAAACUUUUUUUCAGAAACAAAAGGCAAAAUUCCCGUCUUCAAUUUAUUUUCGACCGUGAGUAUUUUCGACUGGGACUAGGCUGGAAAACCUUCGCUCAAAUUUUGGAGGGACAGAAGUGAAUGGCUUAUAAGCGGUUAAAAAUAGUCCACAAUUUUGACGGAUUUUUUCAACAGGUCUCUAAUUUGACUAAGUCUCGUCGUCACUUUUAACUUCGAACUAUUACCGUCGAAAAUAUAUGCGAUCAAAAUUAGCCGCUUUUCUUAUAUCACAUAAUAACGUGUUGAAGGGUAAUUGAAAUUUGAUAUGGUGAAACACAAACCGGAAUCACUAUUAUUGUUGUUAAAAAUCUUUGAUUUUCGGCUCUCCAUUGUAUCUUCUUUGUCUCUUCAGCUUACUCAUUUUUCGAGUUUGGUCACAUAUUCUGCUGCAUGCAAUGUUGUAUACAAUUCAGAAACUUGCGUUAAUAAUCAAAACAUUUGUCAGACUAGAUCCCAUCAAUAUUGAUCUCUUGUUUUAUCAUCAGAAUAUUUUGAUAUGGUUGUAUUUUGGGGUUGUAUACUUGUAUUCCCUCUACCGAACAGAUUGAUUCUGAAUUUUGUUUUGUUGAACUUUUGAAACAAAACUUUUGAACCGAAGUACUAAACAAUUUGACAGUUCAAGAAAGUUGAAUAUCAAAUUUUAUGAUUCACCUAGCGUUUUUGCUUGUGUUUUUUUUAAUAAUAAUCGUAUGAUUUUUUUGAAGUCAAGUUGUGUGUCAUGUGUUUUAAAGCAAGACUAAUAAAGUCCCAAGAUCCAAAAUCAUUAUAAUCAUGUUCCCGUUCAUUCUUUUUUUUUUCCUGACAGGUGAUUAUAAUCUGUAAGAUUAUAAAAAGAUUAUAUUUUAGAAAUAAUCAAUUUAUUUUACUUAAUUCAAUAAAAGAAAGAUUUUGGUAAGAGAGCAUUGAGGGAGUAAUUCAAAUGCAGAGUUGAAAGUGGAAUUUAUCAUUCAAAUUUAUUAUAAUUUCAAUUUUAAUGAAAAAUUAACGAAAAUUAAAGUACUCUGUGAUGUGCUACACUCGCUGAUUUGCUGGAUUCCACCGCAUACCCUGCGUGUCUGGGAUGCAUCAUGCAUAUUGCGUUAUUGUUAAGUUUGUCUUUUGUUUAUUAAAUAAUAAAAUUAAACAUAACUCUAUGAUAACAUUUUCUUUCAUAUGGGGUCAUCAGGGAGUUUUUUAAGAUACGCAUGAAGAAAAAACACAAAAAUACAAACGACCUAAUUAUUCUUAUUAAACCUACCUAGGACACAUGUGGGGUACUAAAUAUAGAGAUAUAGACACAUAUCAUAUCACCAUUAUACUGCAUACUACCACUAUAUUUUAAUAAUAUUAAAAAGAAUAACAUAGUGUUAAUAAUCAAAUCCGAACCUAAUGUUAGUGACAAAAAAAAUCAGAACCUAACAUUAGUGAAAAAAAAAAUUAAUAGUUCAGUGGUAGGUUUCUAAAUAAAUAAUAAGUUUGAUGGUAAAAAAAUUUAUUUUUCCCUAAAAAUUAAUGUAUAUUUUUCAUUUCGAUUCUACUUUUUAAUUUUAUACUAAUUUUUUAAUAGUCACUAAAAAUCUUAAUGACUCAUGAAAUCAUGAUCAAUUUAUUAAAUUUUCAUGUGUACAUUCUGUAAAGAAGUUGGCCCUGCUUAUUUUCUUCUUCCCAUAUGAUUGCAUGUGUUUUUAUAACAAUCCUUAGUUGAGGUAGUUAACUUAAAUUGACAUGUUACAUUUUAUAAAGAAUUUGGUUUCAAAAAAAGAAUUCUAUAAUAGUCGCAAGUUGAGGCAAUUAACUUACAUUGACCUGUUACAUUUUUUAAAGAAUUUGGUAUUAGAAAAUUGAUGCAACCUUUUCAACUCAUAAGCUAAAAUUAUGCACAAUAAUGUAUGUGCAUACAUGUAAUGAAACAUAAAUUUAUAUGGACACAAGCAUGCACACGUAAUCGAGUUUUUAAAAGUAGUUUAAAUUGUUGAUGAGGGCACUGCAUUCGUUAUGUGAAGAGGAACAAAAAGAGAAAUUAGGCUUCAGACUCUUUGACUUGCCGGGAAACAACUAAUAUCUCAAUUACUCUGCCUGUUCUUGAAAAUAACUAUCGACGAACUUAACCAAUAUGUGUAACGAAAAUAAACAACUCAAGCACGCUCCCCACGGAUCCUCCUGGCCAGCUGAAUGUCUUUAGACAUGUUUGUCACACACUUAGAAUGAAUAGCGCACAAGUUAGGCUGUGUUCACUUGGAUGGAAUGGAAUGUGGAGAGAAUGGAAUGAAAUUUGCAUUAUAAAUUGGGAGUGAUUAGUGAAAUUGUUUAUUAUUUUUAUUCUUUCAAUCAUUCCAUUUUAACUAUUUCAACUAAAAAUCUAACCCACAUGUUUUGAAAGGAAUGUUGAUUCUAUUUCAUCAUUUUUUCUUAGCAUCUUCUUCAUGAAAUUUUUUAACUCACUCAUAUUUAAUCAUUAUUACUUUAUACUUUCUCCGAUCUUCAUAAAACUUGUCCAUGUAGUUUCAUUCCAUUCUGCCCUCAUUCUAUUCCAUGAGAUGAACACAACCUUAAUAUCUUCCAACAGGUUUAUUAGGUAUACCUCAGCUGCCUCCCGGAGAGUUAGGACCGCAUGGCUCUGAAAAUGCAAAUCAGUCUGCAACAACAAAUUAAAAUUGCAUGUUGCAAUAAAAUUCAAUACGAUAAGUGAAGAUACAAUAUUUAGGGUUGUUUGUUCCAAAGAAGCAGAAGCUGCUUCUGACUUCGGCUUCUUUUGCCCGUUUGCCUAAAUAAGUAUAAACACUUUUAAGAAGCUGAGAAUGCUAGCUUCUGAGUUCUCUCAGAGAGUAUCUGCUUCUUUUUCAAACACUUCAUUAACUUAUUUACUUCUCUCUUCUUAUCCACUUCUUUACUUUAAAUAAAAAAUCACCUUUUUUUAAACUGACCUAAACCCCCCCUUAGUUCUUCAUUAUCUUCUUCUUCCGAGCAUGUGCGGCCCAGCUGAUCAUCUUCUUUGAAAUAUGGGCAUCACUUACCCCUGGAUCAGACAUGGUAUAAAGCACAGCCAAUAUCAAGGGCUUGUUGGCAAGGGUAUGUUUUUGUCAGAAUAUAUGUAAGGUAUUUAAUUCUGAAAUAUAUGUAAAAAUAUUACUAGGCAUUUGCAGAAAUUAUUGGCAUUAUUUUUCACGAUCUUAUAAUAUUACAUAGCUAGCAUUCUUCAGAGCAUGUGCCACACCCAGCGGAGAGCAUGACCGGUUCGUCUCGAUUUCCGAAUAAUCGUAACCGCAAUUAUAUAUUAUUUUUAAAAUUGAUAACCAUAACUGCCGGUUCGUAUUUUGGUUUUGGUUUAAAAAACCUGACACGGUUAUAACUGCUUGUGUUAAACUUGAACAGUAUAUUGUAAUCCCAGAUAAAUUUACAUUGGCCCGGUUUAUAAAAUAUACUAAUACAUUUACUUAUUUGAAAUUGUUUAGAUUUAAUAAAGUUUUACUGACAUUCAAUGAGCAGGGCAAGCAGCAUGAAGCACCUGCGAAAUUAUCCACCUUAUUAUUUGCAAUUGCUUUUCAAGGACCUCUCUGUAAUCGUCUUAUCAAGCAGGUAUAUGAGUGUAUCUAAUUAUGUAUACGUAAACAUUUGACUAAUUAGAAAAUAUUUCAAAUGCAAAGACUUCUAUAAUUAAAUAAGCGCAUUCCUAUUUUCAGCAGAAUAAUAUGAUCUCUGGCCGUUCAUUUCAAAGUGACGAUUAUCAAAGGUUCCUGUUUAAAGCAGUUGAACGAACUUUGUAGCUUGUUGGGUGAUGCGGAGAAGGUGUUCGAUAAAUUGCCUGUAUGAAGAUUUUUCCAAUUGGUGAGUUUACGUGACAAUAUUUGGUUUUCUUGGAUCGCUACUAAGAACUUUUUAUGCUUGUAACCAUUGGGUCUUUUAAAGUGCUUGGCAUGUCUUAACUUUAUUGUGUUUUUGGAGAUUUUGAUCUCGUGCUAGUUAAGACUAGUUUUAUAUGGAAAUCGAUCUUGGAACCUAGAAAUUGAACCGAGUUUGGGCUACCUUAAAAUUAAGUGAUUGAUUUAGGAAUUUGGGUCUGGGGCUUAGUUAUGGAACCUAAUAUAUUGAGAUCAUCGAGAUCAUUACAAAGAUUAGCUAAAUUAAUUAAUCAAAUACACGCCGCUUAUGAAACCACUGCAGGAUAAAAAAAUCUAUACUUGUGAAUUGUGAUGCAUUUAUUUGACUAUGUAUAUCAGAUAUUUUGGUCCGUGUGCUGAUUUUAGAAAAACAGAUAUUUAAAAAUGAAGGGAGUAUUAUCCAACACUUUCAACUUUUAAUUAAACCAGGUCGAUAUGAUAUAUUUAAAACUGUAAAUAUGAGAUAAUCAUGAAAUGUUUCGUCUUUAUAGAAAUAAGAACAAACAAACAAUGCUAGAAUUACUGAUACCGAACGAUUCUUAGCCGGGACUGAUAUCUUAUUUAUCCUGUUUAUUCUCUGACAUAAAUAUCUACCAACUUAAACAAUAGGCAGAACGAAAAUAAAUAAACUUUUAAUAUAAUGUUGAAGAUAAGUAAAGAUACAAGGUACAAUCGAUUCUCAGGCACCCGAUAAAUAUUAGGUUAUUUUCUGGCUGUUAAAUAUCUAACGGUCAUGAUUAUACUAACAUUUUUUAAUAUGUCAUGUUCAAUGGCUAAAAAACACUGAUUAUAUUAAAAUUUUAUUAUAAUCCUGGGUGCGAAUAUUUAUCUUACGGUCAAAAAUCAUGUUUUUUUGACAGGUUCGUGGCAGUCUAACUGCCAGGAAAAAACUUGAAAUUUUUGCGCAGGUAUAUGAGUGUAUCUGAUUAUGUAUAUGUAAAACAUUUGACGUAAUCAGAAGAUAAAUGAAAUGCAAAGGCUUCUAUAAUCAAAUAAUCGCAUUCCUAUUUUCAGCAGAAUAUGGUAACUGGCCAUUCAUUUGAAAGUGACGAUUACCAAAUGUUCUUGUUUAAACCAGUUCCAAGAAAUUUGCAGCUUGCUGGGUUGUGUUUGUUUUAUAGCUACUGCAAGUUGAGCUGAGUUAAAUAAUAGAUAGUGUACGAGGUUAUUGAAAUUCACAGUAUUAAUCUUGACCCAGUCCUAUCUAUUCUUAAUAAAGAAUGGAGGUUUGUUUGGUGGCUAUCAAUAUUCAAACCCCAGCUAAUUUUAAUAAAUAUAUAUAACUCAGACAGCUCGAAUAUCUCCCUGGGAACGGUGUAGAACUGUAGAUCUACCCAGCCCGUCCCAUAAAACUAUAAAGAUUGUACUAUUCAAUGUUAUUUGGGGCUGUUCGACUUGGUUUAAAAGAAGUUACUUGUCACUUACAAUUAAGAAGUAAAAUGUUAAUUAUAAGUGAAAGAUAAAUUUUAAUUUAUUUGUUUGGAUAAUUUUUUAUGAUAAUUUAUAACCAAUAGGUAUUAAAAAUUAGUAUUCUAAUAAUAAAACUAGCUUUAAAGGUUGUAGACUAAUGUGUGUGUGAAUUAAAGGUCAUGCAGAUUGCUGUGUAGUUUUCUUCUCUCAAAGAACUUAUGAAUCACAAAUUUGUCAUUGUAGGAUGAUUGAAUCUUAAUUUUGAAGAUCUACUUCAAAUGAUCUCCACUGCAUCAGGCAUUUGUAUAUGAUGCAAUAUAAAACCAAGGUGCUGUGCAAUACAAUGCAGUAUUUCAAAUGUGAACUCAACAAUAUAUCUUCUUAGUGGUUAACAAUACUACAUGUAAAGAUAAUGAUAGUGAAAUCAAGAUUCAGAUGAUAUGGAUAUAAUAUCAUUUUAGACAUAAGAAAGUUUGAUAAUCACAACACUGCAUCAAAUUUUAAAUUGUCAGAGUAUUGAAAUCAAUCAUGCAGUUCUACAAUUCAUUUUAUGCUAUUGAGUAUUGUGUUCCCAACGGAUGACAGUAUAAAAUUUCAGAGCCGGAAAGAAUUUAUCCCUCCUCUGUUAAUAGACCAAAAUUAAGCAAGAUACAAGAAAGCACAUCCAUAAAAGGGUUUGUUUAUCAUCAAAGAGUUUAUUUUUUCCGGUGUGUGUUCAUGGGCACAUGCUAAGCACUAAAUUUUAUGUAGGACCUGGGUCAACAGAGCAUAAACCCUUAACCACUGGGCUAUCCAAUCGUGCUCAUGUAUUUAACUAAUUUUGAUUGGCUCCUACUUUGUAAUAAUGGUUGACCGUUGACCCUUCUGCAUAUACAAAAACUUCACCAAUCAAUUUGAGCUAAAUGCAAAGAUUUUAGUGCUUAGUAUGUGCCCAUGAGCACAAACUAGACAAAAGCGAAAAAUAUAACAAUUCGAGAGGGGAUACAAUAAAUAUUAAAAAUAUCACAUAGUCAUAUAAUCAAAAUACAGUUACAUUAAAUCAACUAGCAGUUCGAGUAACAUUAUUGCUUUCUUAUAUUAAAUCACAUUAAUCUACUAACUGCAAUUAUUUAUAGUUUAUACACUGGUCUAAUAGAAAUCAGGGUCUCUGGCUCAAUUUCAAAUCUAAAAAAAUUGUCCAAACAUUGUAUUUAGGCUUCAGAAAGCGCAGGCAUCCGAUUUCUGCAAAGCUUAGUUGGUUUAGUAUUAUGCUGCCACUGUUCAUAACUUCCAUGACUCUUUUUUGCCCUAACAAACUCUCGUGAGAAGGUGGAUGCUCAUGGUAAAGUUUUCAAGUGUAAGGUAUUUUUCUGUCAGAAUAUAUUUCAGAUAUUUUAAAUAAGCUAGUAUCAGUAAAGUCAUCUAAGGAUCGCAGAAAAUAAAACGCAGCUGAAUCCGCAAGGCGGAAAGUUUCACAUUUACAUCAAUAUUAUUGCAUAAGACUAACUGAUUAUAAUCAGCUAUUUAAAAUUAAUCUGAAGAUGGUUCGUUUCAAGCCUCCCAUAAUUCAUAAUAUCACCCAAAAAAAAACUCAAAGUAUUAUGAACUCUUUAGGCCUGACGGAGGCAUGGUGGGUGAAAGGAGCCCAAAUCACAAUUUUUAUGUCAUUUGUAAGUUUAUGCAGCGUGCAUAAAGAUAUAUAAAGAUUAGACGUAAAUUAGUAAUUUGUCUCGUGUUAUGAACAGUGCCGACAUUUCAAACGAGAAACGUUUUUAGAGACGGAGGGAGUAUAACUUAAGUUUGUAUUAAAAUAUUGAUUUGAGCUUGGACGUCCAAUUAGUGUGAACGAAACAUGGAGAUGCACAAUGAGACAAAUAAGUUUCUUAAGGUCACAUGAGAAGAAUAAGUUUUUUAAUAGUCAUUAGAAAUCAUGAUUCACUAAAUUGUCUUGUGUACUUUUUAUAAAGACUUUGGCCUUGAAAACUGAUGCAACUUUUUCUACUUAUUUUCUUCUUCCCAUGUGGUUGUGUUUGUUUUACAGCAACUGCAAGUUGAGCUGAGUUAAGAAAAAAUUUACUAAAAUAUAAUUCAGGCAGCUCCCAAUUCCCAUGUCUCCCUGGAACUGUGUAGAUCUACCGAGCCCGCCCCAUAAAGCGAUAAAGAAUGUACUUUUUGAGUUUAUUUUGGGCGGUUCGACUUGGUUUAAAAGAAGUUAGUUACUACUUAUAGGUAAGAAGUCACUUAUACUUGAAAAAUAAAUUUCUAUUUUUCUGUGUGGAUAAUUUUUUGAUAAUUCUUUACUAAUAGGUAUAGAGAUUAGUAUUAUAAUAAUAAAACUAGCGUAGAAGCAUGUGCAAGGCACGGCUACUGUUGUGUAGACUAAUAUGUGUUUGAAUAAAAGGUUGCAGGCUGCAACAGGCCUUGCCUUCAGAAAAUCCAAGGUGCUGUGCAACGCAACUCAGAAGCAAAUCCUGAUGCUCUUGCCUUUAGAAACAAUGAAGAGGGUUGUAGAACAAAACCAGAAAUUUCAAGUUUGUGCCCUUUCAUGGGUUGUUGAAGCUGAAAUGUCACUCCAUUGAAGUGACCGAGUACUCAUGCUUAUUAUUGAGCCCUGUAAGCUAGAGUCCUCUAGUGGCAAGCAAAACCAGGAUAUGUGUCUAUCACAAUCCUCUAAUGGUUGGCAAGCAGAACCAGGACUUUAGAGAAGUUGAAACAGUCUUCUAAUGACAAACAUAACAGUCUCUUCCAAUCUAUUUCUUCAAAUUCUUCUCCAUCUCUUAUCUUUCCUUCUCGCUUCUUCUUCUACCUUUACAACAGAUCAUCUUCCUUUUUACUAGCGUCUAAUCAUCAAUCCAUUAUCUUCAAGCUAAGAGUUCACAAAGUUCCCACUCUUUAGCUUGAGGGGGAGUGUUAAGGGAUAAGAUAAAAGGCUUUUAUGGUCUUUCUAUCCAGAACAUUUGUUUUUACUAGAAUUUAGUAUUGUUUGUAACCUUCUAUAUAUACUGGAGAUGUAAUAACUAUACGAAGACAAGUAAAAAGAAAUGUAGUCAAUUAAUUUCUCUUCUUUCUUGUUCGUGUGUUGCUCUGUAAGUUUGCAACUAUGGUUCUCACCAUCACUGACUUAUAAAAUCAUCAGAAGAUUCUGUUGUUCCUUGAAGAGAACUAACCCAAGCUGCAACAAAAAUAAUAGCUUACAAUUCUAUAGAUUCACCUUAUAGAGUUAUACAAUGGUCAUUUAUUACAAAAUCAUUUCAAUUCAUCUAACCCUUAGACCUUGUAACGAAGCUAAACAAUCUGUUAAACCUAAGAUCAAAUCUUAAAGAAAAUCUUCUAUAGUGGACAAACAUCUGCUAUACAUUCCAAGAUUAUUAAUAAAUAUAUCUUGAAUCAUCUUAAGUAACAAGCUUCGAAGGCCUACAACACUCUUCAUAAAGUCACAAACCAUGUUUCCUUUGGCCUUUUAACAUGGCAGUUAAAAAGAAUUUGUCAGGUUCAGAAUAUAUUAUAUUAAUCCUGUUAGGCAGUCUACUUCUUUAAGGAUUUAAGUUCAAAUCUUAACAUUUAUGCGGUCAAUCUUAUGCAGAAGCAAACCUACAUAGCAUUUAAGACAUCUGCAAAAAUAAUAAUAGGCAUCUGCAGAAUUUACUGGCAUUAGAUUCAGCGAUCUUGCAAUAUUACAUAACUAGCACAAAAGAACUUUUGUGGCAUUUUCAUUUCGUUCCUUUAAUAGUGGCUGUUUGAUGUGGAGGAAAGAUCACAUACAAUGUUAAAGCCAGUUUCAGUAAAGUGAUCUAAGGAUCGCAGCAAGAUUAUAACGCGACUGAAUCCGCAAGGCUGAAAGUUCCAGGUUCACAUCAAUAUUUUUGCAGAGAAAAUACAAACAAUUAAUUAACAUUAGGAAUUAAUUAUUUAUUAAAAAUAAUGGAAAUAUCGUAUAUAUACAAUCAAACAUUCACAAUAGAAAAAAAAAGUUAUCAUUUUGAAUAAUAAAUUUAAAUAAAAUACUGAAACGUCUAAAGUUUCAAUACUAAAAUUAUGUGAUUGUUUAAGGUAAUUGCUCCAUAAAGAAGCUGAGAAUGUUAGCUUCUCUCUCACAGCUUCUGCUUCUUUUCCAAACACUUUAUUAACUUAUUUACUUCUCACUUCUACUCCACUUCUUUACUAUAAGCAAGAAGUCACUUCUUUUAAGCUAACUUAAACGGCCCCAAUGUAACUAAAGAAAAUAAUGGAAUCUUGAUUAACCAAGUAUCUGUCCAAAUAGUCUAAAGUGGAGAAACAAAUUCAUUUUAGAAUGAGACUUUAAUCAUCAACAAAUAGAAUUAAAAUUCUUCAAAUUAAACAAAAACAAAAUACAUUCAAAUUGAACAUAAACAAAUUACAAAUUUUAUGAUAUUGUAAUGUGAUGCACGAGUGCCGAGAAUCUUCCAGGGCGUUUCUAAGACUUCUAGUUGGUUUGGAUCAAGAUACGUUCUAGUUGGACUGGAAUGCUCCUCAGCUCUCCACACCGAAUUGUUCUAAAACUUUCGAGGCAAGGGAGUGCUCUGUCCUCGACUUGCAAUUCUUUUAGAUCGGUGAAAUAUCGUAGUCUUAAACUUUGAAGACUUGGAAACGCAUUUUUACUGCAAACCAUUUUGUUCCCCUCAUACACUACAUACAAAUCAAGAGUCGUAAGAUUCCGUAAAUUUCCCAAGCUGGGCAUUGGAUCUUCAGUGAACCUACUAUGAGACAGAUUUAAAUCCUCGACUGAAUUUGGCAGAAAACGGAAUUCUGAUAGUUCUAUAACACCCCUUAAAGUUAUGCUCUUGAGACGAUUCAAAACCGAAAACGGUUUCAAUGUUGAAAUAACGACAUCAUGACCACACUCAAAUAUGAACGUUUGGAGAUUUGUUAAAUUAGCAAUGGAUUCAAAAGUGCGACCUCCUCCUCCCUCUCUAUCUCUUAUAUAUAAUGUACAGAGGUUAGUGAAAUUGACGGUAUCAAUCUUGACCCAUUCCCUGAAAUCUAUACCAGAAAAAGAAUGGAGCUUUGUUUGAUGGCUACCUAUAUUCAACCUCUCGCUAAUUUCAAUGAAUAAAUCGUACAAAUGCCUCAGCUCAGGCAGCUCCCACAUCUCUUUGGGAACUGUGUAGUAACAAUCAUGGUGCCCACCCCAUAAAGAUCGUAACUUUUUCAGCUUGCCUAUACUUGCUGGCACUGCUAUUGUUCUCCUGACGGUACCCAUUAAGCCUAAAAACUUUAAAAGAACCAGUUCCCCUAAUUCUUCUGGUACACUCUUUGAUGCUACACACGACAUAUCUAGCACUGUGAGAUUUUUAAAUCCAGUGUACAUCAACUUUAUUUCUUUUAAUUCCACUUUAAAUCUAUAACCUGCCAACAUUAGGGAAUGCAAAUAUAAAGCAUCAAAUCUACGCUGCUCAAGUAAUUUAAGGUACUCACCAAUUUCAUCGUAAAUAGCAUGACGCCGUUGUCCUUCCAAUAAAUGGAUGAGAUUUGGCUGGUGUUUACUUGAAUCAAAAAUAACCAACAAAUUCUGCUCCUUUGCUUUUUUUAUGGCAAGUUCACGCACAAGAUCAUGGACCCGGCAUGUGACAAUUUUCCCAUUCAAUUGCCAAUACUCAAUCUGAAUCAAGUUGCGAUUAAUUAGCUCGUUCAGACAAUCCUCGGCCAAAUCCUCCAUGAGUACUCCAUCUCCUUCUUCAUCUUCUGAUAUGAAUUCCUCUGCAAUCCAUAAGUGCUUCAAAGGUUCGACGAAAAUGAUUUUAUCUUCUGGAUAUCUUGCAAGGUAGAGAAAACAAUCUCUCAAUUGGGGAGACAAGUCUUUAUAACUCAAGCUUAGUAUUUCUACAAUAUCCACAGAGUCAUCUGUCAAGUUUCUCCAGAUAAGCUCCUUCACCUUUGACCAAUAGUCGUAGCUCUUGUUGUGGAAUAAAAGGCCACCCAGUAUCACAAUUGCAAGUGGUAAACCUCCACAUUUACCAACCAUCUCCCUUCCCAAGUUCUCCAAAUUCUGGUUUGGUUCUGCUAUCUUGCAGAACAAUUCCCAGCUUUCCUCUUCCCUCAAAAGACGAAGUGGAUAGGCUAAACCAUUCUUGAUAUCCACAGUCUCUGCGACUUUCUUGUUUCUUGUGGUAAUGAUGAUCCUACUACCGUUGUCCUGGUUUGGAAAUGCGAUCUUGAUCUGGUUCCAAGCGUUUAUAUCCCAUAUAUCAUCAAUAAGUACCAAAUAGCAACCUUCAUUCUGGAGUAACUGUGGUAGGUAUUGUAGCAAGUCACGCUCAUCCAUGUUUGACAUAUAUUGUUCGUGCUCAGGUCCUUUGAAAGACUUUAUUAUCCUCUUAAGGACAUCUUUGAUAGUAUAUUCGUUGGAGACACACACUUUAGCACGGGUGCCAACAUGUCUCAACUCGUUAGAGUUGUACAACUUGGUGGCAAGUGAAGUCUUGCCCAACCCCCCCAUUUCGUGAAUGGAAAUGAUUUUAAGGGGCGGAUCCUCGUUAUUAAGUUCUGUCAUCAACUUGUCAACAUCCUCCCUAAAGCCAACUACAUCCACCUUGUUAUCAAUGGCGCUUGCUCUUAUCAAG
rnacentral:lncRNA from 1 species